rnacentral:lncRNA from 1 species
AAAAAUUAAGAUGAUUCUUGAUUUGCUUUCUAUUGUUUUGAGACCCAAAUAAUACCAAUGCAAAUAUAAGGUAAAAGUCCGAGUCAGCCUUUUCCCGUCAUAUUUUAAAUCUCAAAUAUCUCGAAAAGGAGCUCCAUGACCUAUUAAUAUUUUUAGCUUAUUUUUAUCCUUAAUCGAUGCUCUACCAGCUUAUACUAUCAAUUUUAAUUUCUUAAUUUCUUAAUUUUUAC